CAAAGAGGAUGACUGUGGUCCUGAGCCACUGUGUCAGUACGCAGAGCACAGGGGGCUGACUGAACAUGUCUUGCUCUGACAUCAUUCCUCCUCUGCAACCAAGGAGCCUUAGAAAUGAUAGUACAACCACUCUCAUAGGUCAAUCAGCUUCUGAAUUUUAUACCUUCCAAAUCAUCUGACUUCCGUGGAAUGUCCUCAGACACAUACGAAGAUACAUCUUGAGUGUUAUUAGUCCAUCUACAUGGAAGCAAGUGUCUACUGAAAAUAAACCACAGAAAGAAGACUUGUAUUGUUUUAGAUUCAUUAAAAAUGUAAAGCACACCAAUGAGACCAGGAUUGUUUCUCUUUGGAGUUUCUUUUCUCUUAAGAUCACAGCAAUCUUCUAAUUUCAUUUGAAAAAAUGAUAUGCAUGUAAGUGCUGAAGGAGUGUGUUUGAAGUGAAGUGGAAGCUCCAGUCUAGCAAUCAUACUCUUUAUAUCUGAAAUCUACGUUUGGACAUGGUGUUUGAAAGUGCUGGGAUUUGGCUCCAGUAUAAACAGAUGGAAAGCCCAAUCUCUGACAUUUACUGUUUCAUGCUUUUGAACAUUCAAAGAAUUUGGUCAGAUGGCAAUUUUUUUGAUGGAUGAGGGGAGGAAAGUAGGAAGGGAGGAAGAGAGGAAGAGAAGACUUAUCUCUACAUUUGCUAAAGGAGCAAAGCCUUGUUUCAAUGCAAAGGAAAGGUAUGCCACAGCAAAAACGUGCAAACAUCAUGUUUGCUGUGUGAUUGCGCAAAGCAAACAGUGGUGCUUUGAUGUGAGAAUGUGCUGGGCAGCAAAUUCCCACUCCAUGCUUAGCCCAUCUUGCAACCUCAAAUAUUCUUUUGGUUUUCAUUCCUUCCUCAGACUUUCUAAUUUCUGUCAUGGGAUGCCUCUGCUUUCCUUGAAGUGAAACAGCCCCCUGUCACAUUGCCUGCAUUCAGGAAGAAAGCCUUGUGCUGUGCAAAAUGGUCAUAUGCAGCAAAGAGUCUGUGGGACAGGGAUCUGGCUUACCUGCUUUGUUCCUCUUAUUUUUUUAAAUAAUGAUUUUCAAUUGACAUUCAAGGAGAAUGAGUUGUGUUCCACUCUUAUCCUUUGGUGCUCACUGAUGUCAAAGAGAAAUGUGUUCAAUAAACCAUCCUAGUAAAUAAUUUUAUUUCAUCAUUUUCAUACCAUGCAGGGCAGACAGACAAUGUGGUGCAAUGAAGCAACGCCUCACUGCUCUGGUGCCCAUAGGCAGAUCCAGCUAGUGCACCCUGCUCCUUGUCUUUGGAAAGACCUGGGGAUCCAGGGAAACCCUUGGAAGAGUACAUGGGGCUUUCGUGGCCUGAUCUGCUGUUGCCAGGUGUGGUGUAAGCUGGUGAGACCCUGUCUUGGUGCCAUGUUCAGCUCAGACUCUCUGUUCCUCAGGGUUAUGGUAACCCAGCAUACACAAGCUCAGAGGGAAGGCAGAUGUGAAGGCACUGGCACGUCUUCCCUCCUAACAACAGAAAAUGCUGAAGGUGAGUAGCAGGGAAGAAGCAGAUUUUCUAGAAACUUCUGCCCUGAGGAUGUGAUGGCUGAAAGCCAGAGAUCGGCCCUCCAGGCUUCAGCAAGGGGCUGUUCUCCACACAGGCCAUGGCAGCUGCUGAUGAUAUGGCUGGGUGGAACAAGGCCUGAUCGAAAUAUGUGGAAAGUUAGUUAGUUAUGUCUGAAAUAUGCACUGUGGGCUUGUGUUUUGUGAGCUUCAGGUGCUGAUUUGUCUCUCUAGUGUUAGACACCGAGGAUGAAUCACCCAGAGGUGCAGCUUUCCUGCACUGACUUGUAAAAGCCAGCAACAAGCUGAAUUGGAGGCCAGCCACAAGCAGCCCAAAUGGAGGUGAGGUAAGUAUCACUGAUAACGACAAAACCAGAAUCUCUACCCUGAUUCUGAGAUCAGGUAUGGAUCUGAUAUGGCAAUUCAAAACAGAAAUUAAAAGUCAACAUCCAUCUUAGGACAAAGAAAAAUGAGACAGGAUCUUGUUGCCCUUUAAAUCUAGAAGCAUUUUUUUCAUCUGUCCAAUGCAUGGGGAGGUUAACACAACCUGUUUUUACUAAUGUCUCUUUAAAAAUCCUGUGAGUGAUGAUGGAGAUAGAAAAGGAAGUGUUUCAAACUGCAAAAUGUCCUUGGCUGCCUUUUUGAUACAUGAGUUAAAUAGAUUUUGCCAAGCACAGUGCUACCGAGCCUAGAGUGAUUCAGAUGCUGAAACAAGAUUAUUUAGAGCUAGUCUGAGUGUUACUGCCCUGGAGAGCAGAUAACCCUGAACAUGCAGCUGGAAAGGUGGAAAGGAGUCGCACUAUGGUUUAUGGCCUGCAUCUCUGCUAUUUUUGGAAGGCUGGCUUUAUGCAUGAAAGGGAAAAGCCACAGGUGACACCUUCGAAUCCCUGAGGCUAAGGACUGAUUAGCUAACUUGCAGUUUUUCUUCAGAGAGAAAUAUAUUUUCCAUUUUUAUAACUGUGGGCUUAGAAGUUGUUUUAAAGUUAACUUGCACAGAUGCAUCUUUUAAUAUGUUUUCUUUUCCACUAUGACAGUUGUAGGGAGGCGUGGGGUUAUAAGAGAUGACAAAUGCCUACUAUUUGCAAAUUCCAGAAAAAGCAAAAGACACUAUUCUACUAUUUAAUAGACUUGGCACGUACCUGGGUACAAAUAUCAGGAAUGUGCUCAAAUACAUAUGCCCAGCAUUUCCAGAAAAUAAAUUGGUUUUCUCGAAUGAAAUGUACAUUUCAGCCACACAGGAACAAGGAAUGCCGUUUUAUUUGGAAGAGCAGGAGUUAUAGGGCAAGUGAGAAAACAAUGUCCCGAAAGUUUAUUAGUUAGCCUGACUGUUUAAAAACAAUUUCCUGCAAAAUGUUACUUGAAAAUUUAUGCAAUUUGACUAAUCCAGUAUUCCUUAUUUGUAUUUUAUCCAGAGUAUGUUUAACUGAAGGAAGAAUAAUCUUCAGGGCAGAUGUGCUCAAUAAAGUUAAAGAAAAGACCCUUUGAGAGAAAUAUUUCAUCAAGGUGUUUCCAACACGGACUAUACAUGUUAUCCUUGCUGUGCUGUUCCUGGAAAUAAUCUGUGCUCCUCUUGCUUUAUUCAUGCAGUGGAUGCAUUUGUUCAGGAAAAAACAGUAAAAGUGUUUACUGAAAUGUUUUCUAUUUCCUAAUGGACAGUUUUAUUUUAAACUUACAGUUUAUUUAUUUAUUUUGCGAAAUGCCAUCAGUUUGAAACACUAGGAAAGACCCCUUCCUCAGACACAAGAGGGAUCUGUAGAAACUUCUGUAUAAAAAAUUGUAGCAAAAUUUUCUAAAACAGUAUUUUCAUAGUUAAGGAAAGGAUAGCAAAAACUCUAGUACUUUUUUUGUGGCCUCUGUUCACUGAAACAGAUAACAGGCAAAUAAAAGGGAUACAUCUCAUUGAACUUCAACUGUCUGGAGUUAUGUCCCUGAUCCUAACUUAUUUAGUUUCUAGGAUCCUUUUGUGAUGCCUUGACUGAUCUCAGACUUUUAAAAACGUUCCUAGAUAAAUAGAAAUAUAUUAUUCUUAGGCAUCCAAACCCAAUGACUGUGUUUUCAAAAUGCAGCUGAGUGCUGAAUUACACACUAGCCUGGGUAUUUAUUCCCUGCAAAGAAUGUAUGUUGUAUGUUGGACUCUGAUGACCAAAUUUCCAAAUGGAAACUGGAAAAUGACUAUGUAAUCAAUCAGGUUUUGGAGGCUGAAGGAACUCAGGGAAAAGCUGAUGGAAAGAUUAACACUAAUAUAUAUCAUCUAUUUGUCCUUCCACCUAUAUUAAAUUUUCAUAAUUAUAUUGGUCAGAUAUUGGUAAACAGCAAGAAGGUAGAUGACCCUUCUGAAAAAGAACACAUGAAACUUAAGAGAAACACAAUCUUAGCAAUUCGUUUUGAUGUUAAGAUGUUUGUCUGUCCGUUAUUUUAUUUCACUAGAACUAACAUAAGGGGAGUUUCUCCAAAUCAUACUGCUAAGUUUAGUGAACUUUAAAGCAGGGUUACUUUAUGCAAAAAUUAAUUCUACUUGUUUGUUCUAUCUGGCUGUUUUACAAGUGCUUUGCCCUACGGACUCACUUUGUUUGUACUAGUUUCCGAGAUUUAUUUAGAGACUGAUUUUUUGUGUUCCUGACUCACACAAAAUUGAAGAAACAACAAACUAGUUUUAACAGAGUUUGUAAGAAUUUUGCUAAUGUGAAGAAUAAAGACUGUUCUGUUAACCUGAUUGCGAAACUGAUUGGAGGACUUCUCCAUUCUGUUUUAGUUGGCCCGAGAAAAUAGCAAGCUAUGCACAACAGAUGAUAUAAAGUUUGAGAUUAAACUCUAUUUGCCUGAUUGGAAAAUACAUUAUCUUCUCUUUACAUCCGUGUAGGGUAAAAAAAUGUAUCUUUGCAUUGCAUUUGUUCUCCUCGCUGUUACUAUUAACA
ensembl:lncRNA